UAGCCUGUGCCAACUUUUGUGAAGAUACAUUGUCAAAUGUGAAAGUUUUCCAUACAAGAACUUGAUUCCGAUCGUUCAGUUUGUAUGGCAGCUAUAUGUGGUCCUAUAUCGGCAGUUCCGACAGCAGCUUCUUGAAGAGAAAAUGACGUUAGCAAAAUUUCAAACCGAUAUCUUAAAAACUGAGAGACUAGUUCGUAUAUAUACAGACAGACGGACGGACAGACAGACGGACAUGGCUUAAUCGACUCAGCUCGACAUACUGAUCAUUUAUAUACAUACAUAUAUACUUUAUAGGGUCUCCGACGAUUCCUUCUGGGUGUUACAAACUUCGUGACAAACUUAAUAUACCCUGUUCAGGGUAUAAUGAUAUGUAUUAAUUCAUUUGAAGAAAUAUCAUUUAAAACCAGUAAGGAAAAGGCUAAGUUCGGGUGUAAACGGAUAUUUCAUACUCUUGCAGUUUGCCAGGUCAAAUCCAAGGAAAUACCUUCAAGUACAUAAGGCACAAAGAUGCACCGUUAUCAGAAAAAUAACUCACACUCGAUAUAUGCGGUAUAAAGUCAACUGGAAGUUUUAAAAUAUGUGGGGGCUAAACAAAUUAUUGCUUCGAUUCAACCCUUUUUUUGCAUACAGGCAUAUUAUUAUUCGAAGAGGAUUCUCUCCGAAUUUCUAUAUGUACAUAUGUAUAUGUCUCACAGAUAUACUGAUAUUUUAAAUAAAAAGUUAACAACUGGACCUUUAAUCAAUGUA